rnacentral:rRNA from 1 species
CUGCCUUACCAUGCAGUCGAACGGCAGCACGGGAGCAAUCCUGGUGGCGAGUGGCGAACGGGUGAGUAAUAUAUCGGAACGUGCCCAGUCGUGGGGGAUAACGUAGAGAAAUUUACGCUAAUACCGCAUACGAUCUAAGGAUGAAAGCGGGGGACUCUGCAAAGAGCCUCGCGCGAUUGGAGCGGCUGAUAUCAGAUUAGGUUGUUGGUGAGGUAAAAGCUCACCAAGCCGACUAUCUGUAGCUGGUUUGAGAGAACGACCAGCCACACUGGGACUGAGACACGGCCCAGACUCCUACGGGAGGCAAGACCCUGGAGGAAUAUUGG